GUUAGGAAUCUUCCACAAUGGGGGCAACCCUGAUGGAGCAACACCGCGUGCUGGAUGAAGGCCUUCGGGUCGUAAACAGCUUUUGUAUACGAAGAAUAUGACGGUAAUAUACGAAUAAGGGUCGGCUAACUACGAGCCAGCAGCCGCGGUCAUACGUAGGACCCAAGCGUUAUCCGGAGUGACUGGGCGUAAAGAGUUGCGUAGGCGGCUUAUUAAGCGAGUAGUGAAAUCUGGUGGCUCAACCAUCAACACAUUGCUCGAACUGAUAGGCUUGAGAAUGGUAGAGGUAGUUGGAAUUUCUUGUGUAGGAGUGAAAUCCGUAGAUAUAAGAAGGAACACCAAUGGCGUAGGCAGACUACUGGACCAUUUCUGACGCUGAGGCACGAAAGCGUGGGGAGCGAACCGGAUUAGAAACCCCUGUAGUCC
rnacentral:rRNA from 1 species